AUGAUUUCGGUGAUGCAACAAAUGAUUAAUAACGACUCUCCAGAAGACUCUAAAGAAUCUAUCACCUCUGUCCAACAAACUCCAUUCUUCUGGCCAAGUGCUGCUGCUGCCAUACCGUCGAUACAAGGAGAAAGCCGUUCGGAAAGAGAAUCUGAAACUGGGUCGAGUCCACAGCUAGCGCCGUCUAGCACAGGAAUGGUUAUGCCUGGAACAGCAGGGAUGUAUGGGUUCGGACCAAGUCGAAUGCCAACUGCCAACGAGUUUGGAAUGAUGAUGAACCCGGUCUACACGGAUUUCUAUCAAAAUCCGCUGGCCUCAACUGGUUGGUACUCAUACGGACAACCGUAUCAAUUCACAGCUAACUACUCCAUUCCAAGUCUCGAUGGAAAUUUAAGUGAUAUCACAAUUCCAACGACGGCUGGAAGCAGUGCGGCAACAACUCCGAACGCUGCAAUGCAUCUUCCGUGGGCAAUCUCACAUGACGGGAAGAAGAAGCGACAACCGUACAAGAAAGAUCAGAUAUCAAGACUUGAGUACGAGUAUUCUGUCAAUCAAUAUCUCACGAAUAAGCGGAGAUCAGAACUCUCUGCACAAUUGAUGCUUGAUGAGAAGCAGGUCAAGGUCUGGUUCCAGGUAUGUUAUAGGCAGUAUUCAGCGGAAAGUCUAGAGAUCAUAAAUGUGAAUUUUUAUCUAAUGUCCUAAUGAAAAAAAUUCCAGAAAUUUUGGUAAAUUCCCAAAUUUCCUCAUUUUUAAAAAUUAAUUUUGAGCUUCUCUGGAUUUUCAAAAAACGAACAUCUGAAAAAUACUAAAUUUCAAUAUUUUGAACAUUUACAAGGUUUGGGCACUAAUAAUUGAAAAAAUACAAUAUUUAGCGCCAGCCAAAACGAACUCGAAAAAAUUGAAAAAUUUUUUAAAAUUUCCAGAAAAGUUUUGGCAAAAUGCCAAAUAUUUAAACCUGUUCCGACCUCUAGAAUGUUUUAUAGGAAUUUUUUUGGCAGACUUCCAAAAUUAUGACUUUCAAAAACUGAGUAAUUGUCACUUUUCAAACUUGUCAAACUUGUCAAAAUUUUCAAAAUUUUUUUGGAAAAGUUUUGCUAUCAUUUUGGCACCACUGGAGUAGUUUUUAACAAUUUCCUCACUGGCGCUAAUCCAUCAAUAACCAUACUUUAAAAGUUAAAAAUUACUUUUCAGCACGUGGUGUCAGAGUAUCCCAUUUCGGAUUGAUCUACGUUGAUCUACAAAAAAUGCGGGAUAAGAGGCGCAGAGUUCACAACUGAUUUCACAUGGUUAAGAACGUGCUGACGUCACCUUUUUUUAGGAAGAAAUUCCCGCAUUUUUGUAGAUCACACCGUAAUGGGACAGCCUGGCACCACUUUUUGUAGCCACACUUUUUUGAACUAAAGUAACAUUCGUAAUUAAUUAUCAGAGUGCAAAUAAAUAAGUUGGACAUUUGUGAAUUCACGUAAAAAUGGAAAUGUGCAAAAAGGAGGCAAAAGGUGAGCAGGUUUCAGGCAGGCAUCAGGCCUUGAAACCGCAUCUGCCUACCAUGAGAAAUAAUUGAAAACUUUAGAAACCUGAAACCGCGCCUGAACAUUGUCAAAAACCGUAAAUAUGUUGUUUUGUCUAAACUCCAACCAUUUUAACAUUGCAUGAAUUGUUUUGCUUUCUCUUAACUUCACUGUUUCAGAAUCGACGAAUGAAGGACAAGAAACUGCGUCAACGACAUUCCGGGCCAUUCCCCCACGGUGCUCCAGUCACUCCGUGCAUCGAGCGAUUGAUCAACUGA
rnacentral:misc_RNA from 1 species